UCAAAUCAGUCGCAAGUUCCUUUCCGAGGGGAAAACCCAACCUCUCAAGGUUCUCCACAUACCCAAACAUCUUGAGCACAUGGGGACCUACAGGGGCUCUCUCAGCUAACUUGCCCUGAAAAAGGGCUUUUGAAACUUCAAACCUUUCAUGCCUUGCCGACUCUUGAUAGCGCAUCUUCAGGUGUUCGAUCAUAUCGAACGCUGCCAUGUUCUCAUGUUGCUUUUGCCGAAUCUUGGUACUCACACUUCCCACUCUGUCUUUUUUCUCUCACCUCACGUUUCCCUCACUCUACACGCCACCUACCUACACUCUAAAACGUCUCUCUCAACCCACUGUGCAAGGAAAAGAGGAGAGAAAAAACUUUUCUGACUCUCCCACUCACUAAAGUUUUUCUGCAUAAAAAUGGAAUGGACAACAUCAAAAAUUGGAUUCACCUCCUUUAAUUUCUCAGCCACGCCUCAAACUUUUCAUUCUUCUUCCUUUACUCUCUCCUUCAAUCCUCCGAACAUCACCUAGCCAACAUCCAAACCACAAAUGCGCUUCCUCGACUCACCUUUAAAACUUCUUCGACACAGUCCACCAUUCCGGCGGUGAAAACACACCGGAUCUGCAACUUCCAUCCGCCGACCACUACACAACACAUCACCUCUUCCGAUUUUCUUCAACUUCGCUCUCCUUCCAACCGCGCCUCCGCCGCCGCCGUCAACAAACCCUUCACCUUUCACCACUGCGAAAGUCGCCGCGUCUGCCGCUCCUCCGACGAUUCGACAUUUCCGGACACCCUUCCGAACACUCGCUCACCUCACAACCAAACACACAACAACGAAAUCGUAACAACCAUCAUCGCGACGCCACCACACUACGACAACGCCUUCCGUUCUCCGUCGCUUCAAUCACCGGCAAACUCACCUCGAUUCGCAUAUAAGCUAUCACCAACAACGAAACUCCAUCAUUGAAACGGCCAUUAAACUUCAAGCCGAGAUUUCGAAGCUUCACCGCACAGGAUCUUGGUGUCUAUUUGGUGUUUUCGUUAAAUCUUGUUCUUUUUCAUCUUGUGUUGUUGAUUUUUCAGGAUUCGACCCUCGAUUCUAUGAUUCAGACAAAGUAGUUUCGGCAUGUCAUUAUGGUGAUGUUUAGUGUUGCUGCUCCAAAUGAGUUUGAGUUGUUGUCUACGACACUAGUUGUUUUUUGGAUCAGUGAUGACAUAUCCAUUGUUACGGUACAAAUCAAUUUAAAUUUGUGGCAUAACUUUGAAUCUUUCAUUUUCAUAACAGUACUGGACAUAUUUGGGAUAGGUUGUGUUUGGGGUAAUUUUUCGGUUCCAUCUUAGAUAUGUAUUCAUUUUGCUUUGAACUCUGCAA